CACCUACGGGAGGCAGCAGUGAGGAAUAUUGGUCAAUGGACGAGAUUCUGAACCAGCCAAGUAGCGUGAAGGAUGACUGCCCUAUGGGUUGUAACCGUCUUUUAUAUGGGAAUAAAAUGUUCCACGUGUGUGAUUUUGUAUGUACCAUAUGAAUAAGGAUCGGCUAACUCCGUGCCAGCAGCCGCGGUAAUACGGAGGAUGCGAGCGUUAUCCGGAUUUAUUGGGUUUAAAGGGUGCGCAGGCGGGCUGUUAAGCCGGCGGUAAAAAUUCAGGGCUC
rnacentral:rRNA from 1 species